UACGGGGGGGGCAAGCGUUGUUCGGAAUUACUGGGCGUAAAGGGCUCGUAGGCGGCCAACUAAGUCAGACGUGAAAUCCCUCGGCUUAACCGGGGAACUGCGUCUGAUACUGGAUGGCUUGAGUUUGGGAGAGGGAUGCGGAAUUCCAGGUGUAGCGGUGAAAUGCGUAGAUAUCGUGAGGAAUACCAGAGGCGAAGGCGGCUACCUGGACAAUUGCUGACGCUCAGGCACGAAAGCGUGGGGAGCAAAAGGG
rnacentral:rRNA from 1 species